GUGAUAUGAGUGAAAAAAAUUGAUGGGAAAGGAAGGUUUAAAAACACUGAUAGAUUUUGGAGCCAUAUAAAGAUACAACUAAUGUUCUUGAGAUCUGCUGGCCUAACUACAGAACGUUCCUAUAUGGUAUAAUCUUCUUUUACAUGAGCAAUCAAAUAAAUAUGGGUAUAAUGGGAAACACAAAUUGUCGAAAGGAUUUAAUAAGAAAAGAGCUAAAAAUAUUAUAAUUGAAAAUUUUGAAAUCUAUAUGCUUCAUAAAAUUUCAACAUUUUUAAUACAAAAGUUCCCACAAAUGAGGAUUUUGACAUUGGAGGAAAUUAAUGAAAUAAAAAGACAUAUUGAAAACAUGUUGCAUUAUAUAACAACGUGGAUAAAAAUUUGAUUUUACCCUUUUCCCCAAAAGCAAAGAGAAUCCAAUUAAAGGAUAGCAUCCGCAUCAAAAUUAAACCCAAAGAUGGGAGGAUGAGGGUGUUACAGAGGAGAGUAUUGUAACUUGACAUAACAAAAUAUUUAACUUAGAGGUGAAAACGACAAGAAAGAGAUUAG